rnacentral:rRNA from 1 species
GCAUAUCAAUAAGCGGAGGAAAAGAAAAUAACAAUGAUUCCCCUAGUAACUGCGAGUGAAGAGGGAUAAGCUCAAAUUUUAAAUCUGUUAGGUUUUACCUGACCGAAUUGUAAUUUGAAGAGGGUGAUUUCGUGAGUGUUUGAUCGGCCCAAGUCCUUUGGGAUGAGGCAUCAUGGAGGGUGACAAUCCCGUACGGCCGUCAUUGCUCAUAUACGAUACGCUUUCAAAGAGUCAAGUUGUUUGGGAUUGCAGCUUAAAAUGGGAGGUAAAUUUCUCCUAAGGCUAAAUAUUGGCGAGAGACCGAUAGCGAACAAGUACCGUGAGGGAAAGAUGAAAAGCACUUUGAAAAGAGAGUUAAACAGUACGUGAAAUUGUUGAAAGGGAAACGAUUGAAGUCAGUCGUACCAGCGGGAAAUCAACCUUUCGAGUGGGAUUUUGGAGCUUUAAAGAGUUUCAAAGCCUUUGGGUUUCAAGAUUUCUACUCUUUUGGUGUACUUUCUCGUAGGUAGGUCAACAUCGAUUUUGAACAUCAUAAAAAGAUCGGAGGAAUGUAGCUUCGAUCUCGUAUUGAAGUGUUAUAGCCUUUGGUAAAUGUGAUGUUCAAGAUCGAGGAUUGCAACGAAUAUCCUUUUGGGCUAUUCGUCUGAUCUCUGAUACGUGGCCUUGGUAUCGAAAGCGUGCUUACGGUAUUAAGGUAUUACGGUCAAAAGGUUAGAACGGAUUACAUUCGUUAAGGAUGUUGACGUA